rnacentral:lncRNA from 1 species
CCAACAAAUUAGAAAACAUAGAAAGUCUGUUUUUUUCGAUUUUUUUUUUUUUUUUUCUACUCGUCUCAUCGCUCGAGCAACGCUUGCUCUGAGCUCAAGCUUCAAGCCUCCAUAGCAGAAGCUUGAAGCUUUGUUGCUCCCUCUCUCUCUCUCCAUCUCUCUCUUCUUCCCUGUCUCUCAUAAGUUACUUUUAGGGCUGGGCAUCUGAGCACUGCCCUCGCCGCCUCCUCCCGUCUCUGCGAUUCUGUCAGUUGAAGUCUCGGCGUCACACGCCACCGAACAGGCGCGCACCAUUGGCUCGUCGUGAGCUGGAGUUUCUCAUCUCUGAUCUCUACAAUCAUGUAGAUUUUUAGUUCCCUUUUUGUCCUUGUUACUGAAGAUUUGAUUUAUAGCUUAUUUAUAUCUAAUUUGAUUUUAUUUAUAUGAAUUCUUGUGUGUAACCUGAUUGAUUAUUUUUUCAUAGAAAGUGAUGAAAUGCUUUUAG